UACAGGAGGGUGCAAGCGUUGCUCGGAAUCAUUGGGCGUAAAGGGUAGGUAGGUGGUCUCAUUUGUCCGGGGUGAAAUCCUUGAGCUUAACUCAAGAAGUGCCCUGGAAACGGUGAGACUGGAGUCCUGGAGAGGGUCGUGGAAUUCCCGGUGUAGCGGUGAAAUGGCGUAGAGAUCGGGAGGAACACCAGAGGCGAAGGCGGCGACCUGGACAGGUACUGACACUGAACUACGAA
rnacentral:rRNA from 1 species